CUCGCCCGGGGACUACGAGCAUAAGCUUAAAACCCCAAGGACUUGACGGUGCUUUAGAUCCACCUAGAGGAGCCUGUUCUAUAACCGAUAAUCCCCGUUCAACCUCACCCCCUCUUGUUAUCCCCGCCUAUAUACCGCCGUCGUAAGCUUACCCCAUUGAGGGGCAAAUAGUGAGCAAAAUUGGCACCGCCCAAAACGUCAGGUCGAGGUGUAGCGUAUGAGGGGGGAAGAAAUGGGCUACAUUUACUGACACAGUAAACACGAACUAUGAAUUUGAAAUAAUCAUCUGAAGGAGGAUUUAGCAGUAAGGUGGAAAGUAGAGCGUUCCCCUGAAACUGGCCCUGAAGCAUGUACACACCGCCCGUCACUCUCCCCGAGCUAGGACUUUAACCAAUAAUUAAUACACUACAACUGUAAAGGGGAGGGAAGUCGUAACAAGGUAAGUGUACCGGAAGGUGCACUUGGAAAAAC
rnacentral:rRNA from 1 species